rnacentral:rRNA from 1 species
GACGAACGCUGGCGGCGUGCUUAACACAUGCAAGUCGAGCGGUAAGGCCCUUCGGGGUACGACGAGCGGCGAACGGGUGAGUAACACGUGGGUGACCUGCCUCUAGCUCUGGGAUAAGCCUGGGAAACUGGGUCUAAUACCGGAUAUGACUCCACGGCGCAUGUUGGUGGGGUGGAAAGCCUUGUGUGGCUAGAGAUGGGGCCCGCGGCCUAUCAGCUUGUUGGUGGGGUGAGGCCCUACCAAGGCGACGACGGGUAGCCGGCCUGAGAGGCGACCGG